GAGUUUGAUCCUGGCUCAGAGCGAACGCUGGCGGCAGGCCUAACACAUGCAAGUCGAACGCCCGUGGCAACACGGGAGUGGCAGACGGGAGAGUAACACGUGGGAACGUACCCUUUGGUUCGGAACAACCCAGGGAAACUUGGGCUAAUACCGGAUAAGCCCUUACGGGGAAAGAUUUAUCGCCGAAGGAUCGGCCCGCGUCUGAUUAGCUAGUUGGUGGGGUAACGGCCCACCAAGGCGACGAUCAGUAGCUGGUCUGAGAGGAUGAUCAGCCUCACUGGGACUGAGACACGGCCCAGACUCCUACGGGAGGCAGCAGUGGGGAAUAUUGGACAAUGGGCGCAAGCCUGAUCCAGCCAUGCCGCGUGGGUGAUGAAGGCCCUAGGGUUGUAAAGCCCUUUCGGCGGGGAAGAU
rnacentral:rRNA from 1 species